GUGUCAGUGUGCCCCUGCUGGGGGGUGCCUCCCAGUUAGGCUGCUCGGGGGUCAGGGGUCAGGGACCCACUUGAGGAGGCAGUCUGCCCAUUCUCAGAUCUCCAGCUGUGUGCUGGGAGAACCACUGCUCUCUUCAAAGCUGUCAGACAGGGACAUUUAAGUCUGCAGAGGUUACUGCUGUCUUUUUGUUUGUGUGUGCCCUGCCCCCAGAGGUGGAGCCUACAGAAGCAGGCAGGCCUCCUUGAGCUGUGAUGGGCUCCACCCAGUUCGAGCUUCCUGGCUGCUUUGUUUACCUAAUCAAGCCUGGGCAAUGGCGGGCGCCCCUCCCCCAGCCUCGUUGCCGCCUUGCAGUUUGAUCUCAGACUGCUGUGUUAGCAAUCAGCGAGACUCCGUGGGCAUAGGAACCUCCGAGCCAGGUGCGGGAUGUAAUCUCGUGGUGCACCGUUUUUUAAGCCAGUCCGAAAAGCGCAAUAUUCGGGUGGGAGUGACCCAAUUUUCCAGGUGCGUCCGUCACCCCUUUCUUUGACUCGGAAAGGGAACUCCCUGACCCCUUGCGCUUCCCAAGUGAGGCAAUGCCUCUCCCUGCUUCGGCUCGCACACGGUGCGCGCACCCACUGACCUGUGCCCACUGUCUGGCACUCCCUAGUGAGAUGAACCCGGUACCUCAGAUGGAAAUGCAGAAAUCACCUGUCUUCUGCGUCACUCAAGCUGGGAGCUGUAGACCGGAGCUGUUCCUAUGCGGCCAUCUUGGCUCCUCCCCAGAAUAUGGCCUUUUUAAGAAUGCAGUGGAGGUGAUACUAUGGUCAUAAUGACCAGGGGCUGGGUCAGAAGAACUUCAGAUUGAGCCUCUUGAAACAUUUGCUCUUGGAAUUCUCCCUCUCAGGAAACUAACAGCCUGCUAUGAAGCCCAAGCCACAAAGAGAGGCCAAGGGGAAAUAAACAGAGUGUGAUUAUAUGCAAAACCUACAAGAAUGAGGACCUCCAAACUCAGUGUACAGAGUGAUUUUCUGCUGAAACAAUUGGAAAAUAAAAGAGACAUCAGUGUGUGAAUGACGACUUUCUGUUGCUGACUUGGAAGACAGAGGAAUUGGGUCAUGAGCCGAGGAAGGUGGGCAGCUUCUAAAAGGCGGAAAAGGCAGGGGAUGGCUCUGGCAGAGAAUCACUCCUGAGUACAACUUUCUGGCGGAAGCUCUAGUAAGUAUCCACAUCCAAAAUGCCUGGAGGAUC
rnacentral:lncRNA from 1 species